GGAAAUGCUCCUUUCCAAGCCCACGGGCUACUUCCUGAUCCGUGUCAGUGAAAGCAGGAUAGGAUACACUCUCUCCUAUCGUGCCACUGAUCGCUGCAGGCACUUCAUGAUCGAUGUGCUGAAGGGCAAUCACUACAUUAUUGUAGGAGAGGACAUGCGUCACAGGGCACUGCAAGACCUGGUGAACUUUCACUGUACGGUGCCUGUCAUGCAUUUCAAUGAGCUGCUGACUGUAGCUUGUGGACAGGUAGAUCGUACUGCUAAACCAGUGCCAUUGCCCAGAAAGAUACUUAGUCACCGCGGCCCAGCCAGACCAACCUCCUGAGUUACCUGCCAGAGCUCCCUGCUCUUCCACAGAGAAAGAUCAAGGACCAGAGCAGCACUGCACCUGAAGGGCCCCCCAGGACCCAUGAUGGUGUGUACAGACAGAUGACCACAGGCCCGACCAAACACACACCACCAGGACCCAAAUCCCAACAAACAGAAGAAUUAAGAUGUAAAGUCAGAGGAAGUUCCAUAAUAAGAGAAGUGCCUCUCAGGAGCACAUGUAUGCAGAGAUCAGUGUGGAGGCUGAGCAGAGGCAAGGGGAAACAGUCCUGGAGGCCAGAGAGGGACAUUGAUACAGCUGGUGAGAACGAGUACCAGAUGCUUCCAGGAGAGAUUGCCAAUGGCCCUCCACCCAUUACUGAUGUUACCACUGUUAGACCCACAUACAGGGGGUUACCGCCAAAAUACCUGCCCCCACCUCCUUUUGCCCUUGGAUACUAAUGUCCACUUCUCUACCCUCGAAUGGAUGGAUGGAUGGCUGGAUGGAUGGACACAUUAAUGUAGUUGUAGCAUGCAAGACUGUUCAUGAGAGAAAGAUGUCUGUUGAAGGCAAUGAUGAGUUAAAAGUUAAUGACGGUCUGAGGAGUUCAUUAUUUAACUGUAUAUCUAUAAUUUAUUUUACAAAUUAACAUUGAGUGCUAUUUAUGUCUGCAAUAAUCUCUGGUUAGUAGUUAGACAAUGUCCAAUGCUUUAGAAUACUGUGUAUGGUGGACUAUUUCAUAUCAAAUGUGAAAAUAAUUUAGUUUUAUGUCAUGUGAGGAAUUAUGUUAAACAUCUUGUUAAAAUUGGCAAGUCUGCUCUCAGAAAGGUUCUGGUCUAACUGGAUUGAUGAGGAAUGUGAGUAAAUUGGGAAACUCCAGUGACAGUGUGGGCAUUCAGGUGUAGGUGGGUCAUUCCACGAAAUGAAUGCCUUUUGUGUCCCUUUGAUAUUUUAAGUAGAAAUUGUGCACCAAUAUUUUUUGGGGGGGUUAUAUUAAAUGAAGUGCCC